UAGCCCAAUGCCUCGAGUGUG
rnacentral:siRNA from 1 species